AUUGGAUAUAUUUUAUGACAUUUAAAAUAUCUAUAUUUUAAAACUAUUAAUUUUGAAAAUAUAUUUAUUAUGAAUAAAAAUAAUGUCACUACAACAAAAACGAUCUAUAGCGACACUUUUAAAUGUAGGUACAUGUCAAAAAAGUGCUGCUAGCUAAAAUUACCGACACUUUUAAAAAGUGUUGCUAUAUGUGGGGUCGCUAGGUAUAUAGUGACAGUUAAAGAGUGUCGCUAUAACCUAAAAGAGUGCUGCUAAUUUACCAACACUUAUUUAAGUAUUUAGCAACCGCCGAAAGUCUAUCUCUUUGGCUGCGCUGGCGGAGGAGAACGACAGGAAAGGCUCUUCGUCUAGAAUUUCAGUGGAUUGAGUGAAAAGAGAAAAAAAGAUGGUAAUUGAUUUUUCUUUUUUUUUCUUUUCUGUUUGUAAUCGGGCCAAAUGGACUGGAUGUGGUGGAUUGAGUAGAGUAAUCUUUUAUUUUUGGUUGGAUUGAGUUUUUUAUUUAGGCAUUAGUAGAUGUUUUUUUUAAGUUUUAGCAUAAAUGGGACACUUACUCAAAAGUGUCCCAAACAUGUGUCCCUAUAACCUAAUUCUGUUGUAGUGUGUCUUUUUUGAUAUCUAUU
rnacentral:lncRNA from 1 species